UUGAGGAGGCGGUGACCGUGUAGGUGGAGGAGGAGGAUGAGGUAGCCAACACUGUUAUACAUAACACACAAUUAAAAAAAAAUAUAUAUAUAUAUAUAUAUAUAUAUAUUUAUUUUUUUUUAAUUUUUUUUUUCAAUUGUGGUAGCCUCCAAAAAUUGGGACAUAUAAAAAAAGACAACUCUAUUCCGCAGAGUAGCUGUUGAUAUUCUAGUUGCUUUGUCCCGAGGUUCUCUAGAGUCAAUAAUCACACAUCCCCGUGAUGGUGACUUUGCAUUCGGAUGUCAUCCAUAUCAACUUUCGAUGCCAGUUUCUGCGCCUACCAUGGUGACCAUGGGUAACGAGGAAUCCGGGUUCCAUUCCAUACAGGGACCCUGAGAAACGGCUACCACAUGCAAGGAAGGCAGCAGGCGCGCAAAUGACCCACUCCCGACACGGGAAGGUAGUGACAACAAAUAACAAUACAGGAUUCUUUAGAGGCCCUGUAAUUGUAAUGAGUCCACUUGAAAUCCUUUAACUCUGAUCAAUUGGAGGGAAGUCUGGUGCAGAGCCACUGACCCGUGCGUGCUGCAGCUGAAACUCUAUCGCCUGCUGCUG